GGGUCUGAAGCUCAACGGUCGAGCAGGGUGCUCAUAACACCUUGGAAGUGGGUUCGACUCCCACCGGACCCAC
rnacentral:tRNA from 2 species